UGGGGAAUCUUGCACAAUGGGGGAAACCCUGAUGCAGCGACGCCGCGUGAACGAUGAAGCCCUUCGGGGUGUAAAGUUCUUUCGGCAGGGACGAUAAUGACGGUACCUGCAGAAGCAGCUGCGGCUAACUACGUGCCAGCAGCCGCGGUAAUCCGUAGGCAGCAAGCGUUGUUCGGAAUUACUGGGCGUAAGGAGGGCGUAGGCGGUUGGCUAAGUUUGGGGUGAAAGCUCCCGGCUUAACUGGGAGGGUGCGCCGAAAACUGGCUAGCUAGAGUGCGGGAGAGGAUAGUGGAAUUCCUGGUGUAGCGGUGAAAUGCGUAGAUAUCAGGAGGAACACCUGAGGUGUAGACGGCUAUCUGGACCGUAACUGACGCUGAGGCACGAAAGCGUGGGGAGCAAACA
rnacentral:rRNA from 1 species